UGAGGAGGAGGAGCAAAGCGGGAGCGAGGGUGCUGAGGCAGAGGAAGACGCUCCAGAAUCGCUAGAUGCAGGCAGCCAGGAGCUGCUCUCAAGCCAGGAGGAAGGUAGCCAGUCGUGGCGGCAGGUGCUUGGGGAAGCACAAACACCAGAGGAGGUUCCCGAUGCAAUCUUGAGAUCUCAACCAUCUGUGUUAUCACCAGCCGAGAGGCUGCAAAGAAUCGGGAAGAGGCCACGUAGAAGCAGAGGACACGCAGCACUCCCUUAAUGAAAAUUAAAAAGUGCAGGAGUGGCAGGAGAGUGAAAGGAGGGUCUGCCAGCAGAAUGCGGAUCGCUGGCACCAAAGCACAGAGCGGCUAAGUAUCAUGGAGCGCCAAGCGGACUUGAUCCAGGUGCUCGUAACCAUACAGGCGGAGCACUACCGUUCCUGCGCCCCCCCCGCAGCCCUUGUCCCAAAACUCUUUCCCUUCUGCCACUGUCAUCUCCAACCCACUUCCCCAACAUCUGGGUUCUUAUCACCACCAGCUGCCUCCAACAUCUGUAGCUUCACCACCCAGCCCUGAAAACUAUGACCCUUACCACUGCACUGAACCCCCAUCACCAUGCAGUAUAGCCAUCCUGAAGUGCAGCACUCAUUGCACAGCACUCCAGAAAGGAAGUCUGAGUAUGAUAACGGGACAUACGCAAACCUGUGAUUGUACCGUUCCCCACCCUACCCCCUUGCCCUUUGUGUUUCCCAAGCAGUUGUUUCUUUUCAAUAAAUGCAUUUUCAUUAC